rnacentral:rRNA from 1 species
AUUGAACGCUAGCGGCAUGCCUUACACAUGCAAGUCGAACGAGCGGCGGACGGGUGAGUAAUAUAUGGGAAUGUGCCCUGUAGCGGGGGAUAACUACUCGAAACAGUGGCUAAUACCGCAUACUAUUGGAUGAGCCGAUAUCGGAUUAGCUAGUUGGUGGGGUAAAGGCUCACCUAGGCCACGAUCGCUAGCUGGUCUGAGAGGAUGAUCAGCCACACUGGGACUGAGACACGGCCCAGACUCCUACGGGAGGCAGCAGUGGGGAAUAUUGCACAAUGGGCGCAAGCCUGAUGCAGCCAUGCCGCGUGUAUGAAGAAGGCCUUAGGGUUGUAAAGUACUUUCAGUGGGGAGGCGUUACCCGCAGAAGAAGCACCGGCUAACUCCGUGCCAGCAGCCGCGGUAAUUC